GACGUAGGAUGCAAGCGUUGUCCGGAUUUAUUGGGCGUAAAGAGUUCGUAGGUGGUUCGUUAAGUCUGGUGUAAAAGACUGGGGCUCAACCCUGGGAUCGCACUGGAUACUGGCGGACUGGAGUGUGGUAGAGGCAAGCGGAAUUCCCAGUGUAGCGGUGAAAUGCGUAGAUAUUGGGAAGAACACCGGUGGCGCAAGCGGCUUGCUGGGCCAUAACUGACGCUGAUGCACGAAAGCUAGGGGAGCAAACAGG
rnacentral:rRNA from 1 species